GUGUCAGCCGCCGCGGUAAGACGAACCGUGCGAACGUUGUUCGGAAUCACUGGGCUUAAAGGGCGCGUAGGCGGGCUGCCAAGUUUGGGGUGAAAUCCUCCGGCUCAACCGGAGAACGGCCUCAAAUACUGGCGGUCUCGAGGGGGGUAGGGGCAUGCGGAACUAUGCGUGGAGCGGUGAAAUGCGUUGAUAUGCAUAGGAACUCCGGUGGCGAAGGCGGCAUGCUGGACCCUUUCUGACGCUGAGGCGCGAAAGCCAGGGGAGCAAACGGGAUUAGAUACCCCAGUAGUCC
rnacentral:rRNA from 1 species